rnacentral:lncRNA from 1 species
GCACCUGAAUAUGGCUGAGUAUAUUUGAUUUAAUAUCGAUACUGCUUAGUGUUCUUUGUUACUUCAGCUUUUGUACGUUCUAAAUAUAUGCUGUCAUUAAUUGCCACAGAAGUUAAACCCUACCCAAUGGAAUGACGUUAAAGAACGACUUUGGUGCAGAGUUACCAACUGGAUAAUAUCAAAGCUAAAAUAAUGUCCGUCAUUCCCACAUGUUACAGUAGAAGAUACUGUAGAACUGUAAAAGGUUAAAAAGGUAACGUGUAGUUUGUCCCAAGGUGUCUGCCUCCUCACCCAGAGCCAGACCUCCACCUCCUCACCCAGAGCCAGACCUCCACCUCCUCACCCAGAGCCAGACCUCCACCUCCUCACCCAGAGCCAGACCUCCACCUCCUGUCAGAAGUCCUCCAGAACAGCUGAAAGGCGAGGCUGGGGACCGGAGGCUUGUGGUGCCAGGGUGGACCGGAGACUGGGGCUGGAGACCAGGGGCCUGCAGCACCGGACCAGAGGGUAACCAUCACCAAGCUCAUCUGAAACACCAAAAUCCACGGUAG